rnacentral:rRNA from 1 species
UACGGAGGGUGCAAGCGUUAUCCGGAUUCACUGGGUUUAAAGGGUGCGUAGGUGGGCAGGUAAGUCAGUGGUGAAAUCUCCGGGCUUAACUCGGAAACUGCCAUUGAUACUAUCUUUCUUAAUAUCCGUGGAGGUAGCCGGAAUAUGUCAUGUAGCGGUGAAAUGCUUAGAUAUGACAUAGAACACCAAUUGCGAAGGCAGCUGGCUACACGAAUAUUGACACUGAUGCACGAAAGCGUGGGGAUCAAACAGG